rnacentral:misc_RNA from 1 species
UUUUUUUUUUUUUUUUUUGGUUGGAAUUCUGCAAUUGUUGAGUUUGUAAAUUCUACAAUGGGGAGUGAGAGAGAGAAACGGAAAUGGAGAGAGAGAGAAAUGGGGAGAGAGAUACACCAGAGAGACAGAGGGUGAGAGAUAUAGGAGAGACAAGGGAGACAAGGGGAGAGGGAGAAAAGAGACAGGAGUAAUAUUGGAAUUAAAAAAAAAAAAUCUCAUUAGACCAUCUUUCACAGCAUUGUCUAACAGCAAAAAUUUUUGAAAUCGGACAAAAGGACUAUUUAGUAGAUGGAAUAGAAAGUUAGAGACUAAUUAAUGUAUUUGUCAAAAGCUAGGGACAAACUAGUGAACAAUGGCUAAACCUAGGGACUCCAAAGUAGUUCACCCUUUUUUUUGUUGGAAAUUGAAUAAAAUGAACUCUGGAGCUUCAAGUAAGUUGGCCUUCUGAUGAAUCUUCUUGUCAUGGUUGGUUGGCUUGAUGAUGUGAAAACCUAUAUUGGUUUAGAACUUUAUUCUGCAAUUGCAGG